rnacentral:rRNA from 1 species
CGUGGGUAACCUGCCCAAGAGAUCGGGAUAACACCUGGAAACAGAUGCUAAUACCGGAUAACAACAGAUGACGCCUAUCAACUGUUUAAAAGAUGGUUCUGCUAUCACUCUUGGAUGGACCUGCGGUGCAUUAGCUAGUUGGUAGGGUAACGGCCUACAAGGCGAUGAUGCAUAGCCGAGUUGAGAGACUGAUCGGCCACAUUGGGACUGAGACACGGCCCAAACUCCUACGGGAGGCAGCAGGC